AACGAACGCUGGCGGCAUGCCUAACACAUGCAAGUCGAACGAGACCUUCGGGUCUAGUGGCGCACGGGUGCGUAACGCGUGGGAACCUGCCCUUAGGUUCGGAAUAACUCCCCGAAAGGGGUGCUAAUACCGGAUAAUGUCUUCGGACCAAAGAUUUAUCGCCUUUGGAUGGGCCCGCGUUGGAUUAGCUCGUUGUUAGGGUAAAAGCCUACCAAGGCGACGAUCCAUAGCUGGUCUGAGAGGAUGAUCAGCCACACUGGGACUGAGACACGGCCCAGACUCCUACGGGAGGCAGCAGUGGGGAAUAUUGGACAAUGGGCGAAAGCCUGAUCCAGCAAGGCCGCGUGAGUGAUGAAGGCCUUAGGGUUGUAAAGCUCUUUUAACCGGGAUGAUAAUGACAGUACCGGGAGAAUAAGCCCCGGCUAACUCCGUG
rnacentral:rRNA from 1 species